UGCUUCUCCUGGUCUCCCAUGCGGGUGCAGGGCCCAAGCACUUGGGCCAUCCUCCACUGCACUCCCUGGCCACAGCAGAGAGCUGGCCUGGAAGAGGGGCAACCGGGACAGAAUCCGGCGCCCCGACCGGGACUAGAACCCGGUGUGCCAGCGCCGCAAGGUGGAGGAUUAGCCUAGUGAGCUGCGGCACCAGCAAACCUGUGCUUUUCACGAGACGAAGACUGGGUGAUUUGUUCCAACAGUGGCAAGGCGUGCAGGGCCUGAUGCACAUCUGGUUGUUGGUGGGCAUCCCAGCAUGUGACUCCCCUGACCUCUGUGUGUGUGUGUGUGUGUGUGUGUGUGUUGUGCGGGAGGCCUCUGAUCUGUGUGUGGGUGUUUGUACCAGGCUGACAGGUCUCGGACCUAUUGGAGAGUGUGUGUGUCCCUAGACGUGUGGUCGCCAAGGUUGUAGCAGGUGUGCCUCUUGGGAUACGAGGUCUCUCAUCUGUUUUUGUGUGUCUGAGGUUUCUUGGCUGACUGGAGGGGUGAGUUAUGCUUAGGUUGUUAGGUUUCAGAGGUUUUGCGAGCUUUCCAGAAUCACAGGUGUCUGAUUGAGCUGGGAAUGAAGAGAUGAGGUGUCUCUGGUGUGUCUGGGUGUGCAUAUCUGGGCGUGAGAUUUGAAGCUCAUUGUGGGUUGGGUUCAGUGUGGCUUGAGGGCUCUGAUCUUUCUGUGGGUAUAUGUCCUCCAGCAGUAUAUUCCCAAGAUGUCAGCUCUAUAAUCACUCUCCAGGUGGUUUUCCGAGCACGUGAAGGUCUCUGAUCUGUGGUGGCUGUGAAGUCUACGGUCAGUUGUGAGGGGCUGGUGGUGUGAAUGAAGUGGGUGAAGCUGCCGCUUGCAAUGCCAGCAUCCCGUGUUAGAGUGCUGGUUAGAGUCCCGGCUGCUCUACUUUUGAUCCACCUCCUGCUAAUGUGCCUGGGAAGGCAGCAAAAGUUACCCAAGUGCUUGGGCCCCCUGCACCCAUGUGGGAGACCCAGAUGGAGUUCCAGGUUCCUGGCUUCGGCCUGGCCCACGCCUGACUGUUGUGGCUAUUUGGGAAGUGAACAAUUAGUGAAUGAAAGAUUCUCUCUCUCUAUUUCUGUCUCUCUCUCUCUUGUUCUCUGUCACUGUGACUGUCAAAAACACAAGAAAUUGGGUGCGGCUCUGUGGCAUAGUUGGUAAACCUGCCACCUACAGUUCUGGCAUCCCCUACGGGCGCCGGUUCAGGUCCCAGCUGCUCCACUUCUAAUCCAGCUCUCUGCUAUGGCCUGAGAAAGCAGUAGAAGAUGGCCAAAGUCCUUAGGUCCCUACACCUGGGUAGGAGACCUGGAAGACACUCCUGGCUUCUGGCUUCGGAUUGGCCCAGCUCCAGCCAUUGCAGCCAUCUGGGGGAGUAAACCAGAGGAUGGAAGAUUCUCUCUAUCUCUCUCUGCCUCUCCUUCUCUCUGUGUGUAACUCUGACUUUCAAGUAAAUAAGUAAAUAUUUAAAAAAAUACAAGACAUUGAAAUAAAAUCUCAAAAACAAUAAAUAAAGUCCAUUAUAAGUAUGUAUGUUGAGAUGUGAGCUCUUUGGAUGUACAGUCUCUGAUCUGUUAUGGGAGUGUAUUAUAGAAAUUGUGGUCUCUUCAUCUCUUUGAAUAGGCCUUCAUUCUGCAUUCUUUACAAGAUUUAUUUAUUUAUUUAAAGUCAUAGUUACAAAGAGAAGGAGAGGCAGAGAGAGAGUCUUCUAUCCGCUGUUUCACUCCAUAGUUGGCUGCAAUGGCCAGAGCUGAGCCGAUCCAAAGCCAGGAGCCAGGAGCUCCUUCUGGGUCUCCCACGUGGGUGCAGGGGCCCAAGGACUUGGGCCAUCUUCUACUGCUUUCCCAGACCAUAGCAGAGAGCUGGAUCAGAAGUGGAGCAGCCAGGACUCGAACCAGCACCCAUAUGGGAUGCCGGCACCUCAGGCAGCUGCUUUACCUGCUUCGCCACAGCGCUGGCCCUUUCAUUCUACAUCUGCCUUUAUGUCAUCACAGCAUUGGCAUCUCUGAUCCUUUUGUGUGUACUUACCAAGGUUGGGUGAUGUCUUCUGUUUGUGAUUAUGUGUCCCAGUUUGUGGUGUCCCUCCCCUCUUGGUGGGUGUAUGACACAGAACAUGUGCCUCCCCCUCAUUUUGGAUUCUGUGUCCACGGGUGGGAGGUCUCAGAUCUCUUCGGAACAGUGUGACACAGGAUGUGGGAUCCCUGAGCUGCGGAUGCGCGUGGUUUUCACCAUGCGAUGUUUUCCAUUGCUUGUGGGUGUAUAUCUGAGGUUGGUGAAAUUAAGGUCCCUGAAGGAUGUCCUUGUCCUAAUCUCUGGAACAUGUGAGUCUGUGACCUUACACAUGGAGAGGUCCCUAGCACAUGUGACUGGGAAUCAUCGUGAGAUGAGGAGGCACCCAGAUCUUCCUGGUGAGCCCAGUAUAAUCACCAUGUGAGGUCUGGGGGCUGUUUGUCGUGUUUGUCCCUGGUGGCCGGAUAAUGGCACGUCAAAGUUAUCCUCUUCCUACUUCCUGGUACCCAUGAUUUUGCUCAUUCCCGUGGACUUUGCACGUGUGAUUAAGGUCAGCUGGGAAAAUUACCCCAGAUUCUCUGGCUAGGCCCAAGGGAAUCACAGCAUCCUUAUAGGAGGGAGGCAUGAAGGCAAGAGUCAUUGCAGUGGCGGGAGCAGAGAGAAAUGAUGAUGCUACAGUAUUAGCAGGGGUCAGAGAGAGAGAGAGAGAGAGAGAGAUGGGUUCAUGGUGGGGGGAGAGACUGGUGUGAGGUGGGGGUCUGGCACUGAGCUCAGGAAUGCAGGCGUCCUCCAGGAACUGGCCUCUCCCAGAAGAACUCCAGGAGGAAGUCGGCUCUGCCAGCACCUUGACUUUUACCCUGUAAAACUCCUUGUCGGGCUUCUCAUCUGCGGAAACGUAAGACAAUAAAUUUGUGUUGUUUUACGACCAAAAGAUUGUGGUGGUUUGUUUCAGCAGCGACAGAAAACGAACACGAUGUCCCAGGUUGGGGUGCCUCAGUUUGGUUGUCGGGGCACAUCCCGGGAUGUGAGCUCCGGGACCUGUGCGUGUGUGUGUGUGUGUGUGUGUGUGUCUGAUGGUGGAGGUGUCUACUGUCCAUGCUGGUAUAUGUAGCAGGGGAUUAUGUCUCUGUCUGUUGAUCUGUUUGGAGGUUGGUGUUCCAGAAUUUGUGCCCUCAGCUUUUUGGGGGUGUUAUGUCCCAGGACGGGAGGGCUCCAGUCUAAUUUUGUUCCAUGUCCCAACCUGUGAAUUCUCUGAUCUGUUGAGGUGUGUGUAAGUCCAAGGGGUAAGGAUUUGCCCUGGACUUUGUCAGUCCUUUCUGAGUGUGUUUCCUUUUGUUUAGAUAAGCCUGAUGUGUUUCUGGCUUGAUGUCCCAGAAAGUGAGACUCCCUGUCUCUGUCCCUGUCUCUGUCCCUGUCUCUGUCUCUGUCUGGUAGUAUGAAUCACAGUGCAAUCACAGGAUCCUUAGAGGAGAGAGGCAGAGAAGCCGACAAGAGGCCCACAGCAGACAUCCGAGAGAGAGGUUUGAAGAUGAACUGCUGCUGGCCUUGAAGACAGAGGAAGGAGCCCCAGGUCAAGGAGGGCACGCAGCUCUAGAAAGUGGAAAUGGCCAGGGUACAGAGCCUCCAGCAGCUCUGCCGCCGACGUACUCGACUGUCGCCCUUCCAAAACCCAUUUGGGUCUUCUGGCCUGCAGAAAGACCCCAAGGGUGGGAGUGUGGUGCAGCGUGGUGUUUCUGGAGCAACACUGCCACCAAGAGGAAUGUCUCACGAAGUCUCAAGCAUCUCCCUGCUAAUGCUCCUGGGAAAGCAGUAGAAGAUAGCCCAAGUCCUUGGGCCCCUGCACCCACGUGGGAGACCCGGAAGAAGCUGCUGGCUCCUGGCUCCUGGCUUCAGAUCAGCCCAACUCCAGCCAUUGUGGCCAUUUGGGGAGUAAAUCAGCAGAUGGAAGAUUCUCUCUCUCCUUCUCUCUCUCUGUAACUCUGCCUUUUAAAUAAAUGAAUGAAUCUUUUAAAAAAUAAAAAAGGUAUCAAUUAUGAUGUCCCAUGUGAGUUCCCAAGUUUCAUGUCCAGUUCCAGCUCCUGACUCCAGCUUCCCACUAACGGAGACUCACAGACAGCAGUGCUGGCUCAAGUUUGGGUUCUUGCCCCUCAUAUGAGAGACCUGGAUUGUGUUUCCAGCUCUAGGCCCCAGCUGAUGGUGGCUGUUGCAGGUAUUUGAGAAGCAAACCAGAGCUUGUGUAUCUCUCUCUCCCUCUCUUUCUCCCUCCCUCCCUCCCUCCCUCUCAAAUAAAUAAAAAUGAAAGGCCAAGAUCUUAGCACCAAAAUCAACCUGUCUUUUAAUUCCAUUUGCCAUGAACUUCUGGAAUUGCCCUGGUGUACCGUUGGGUGCCACUGGUUUUCAAUGCCCCCCCCCCCCGCCCCCGCUUUUCCAGGGCAGGGUCCUAUCUUAGUCACCAUUGUAGCCCCAGGCCAGGCACAGGGUAGGCUCCCAGGAACCCUCUGCUCAGUCUGUAACACAUCAAUGUAAAGCAGCCUACGUACACAAAAUAAUAAUAAUAAACAUUUAACCAGCCCAGCCGGAAGACAAACAUGUAUAAUUGUCUGUAAGUUUAAUUAUGUUUUUAAAAUUAAUUUUAAAACAUAGUUUAUCUUUUUUUUCUAAAAUGUAUUUAUUUAUAUUUGAAAGGCAGAGAGAGAGAGAGAGAGAUGGGAACAGAUAGAGAUCUUCCAUCUCCUGGUUCACUGCCCCAAGGUCUGUGAUAAUUAGGGGUAGCAGAGCCCCAAGUAUUUGAGCCAUCACCUGCUGCCUCCCAAGGCAUACAUGAGCAAGAAGCUAGAAACAGAAGCCGGCGCCGUGGCUCAAUAGGCUAAUCCUCCACCUUGCGACGCCAGCACACCGGGUUCUAGUCCCGGUCGGGGCGCCGGAUUCUGUCCCGGUUGCCCCUCUUCCAGGCCAGCUCUCUGCUAUGGCCAGGGAGUGCAGUGGAGGAUGGCCCAGGUGCUUGGGCCCUGCACCCCAUGGGAGACCAGGAAAAGCACCUGGAUCCUGGCUCCUGCCAUCGGAUCAGCGCGGUGCGCCGGCCGCAGCGGCCAUUGGAGGGUGAACCAACGGCAAAAGGAAGACCUUUCUCUCUGUCUCUCUCUCUCACUGUCCACUCUGCCUGUCAAAAAUAAAAAAAAAAAGAAGCUAGAAACAGGAG